rnacentral:tRNA from 1 species
GCUCCGUUAGUCUAGUGGCCAAGGAUGCCGCCCUCUCACGGCGGUGACCCGGGUUCAAAUCCCGGACGGAGCG